rnacentral:rRNA from 1 species
UACGUAGGGCGCAAGCGUUAUCCGGAAUUAUUGGGCGUAAAGAGCUCGUAGGCGGUUUGUCGCGUCUGCCGUGAAAGUCCGGGGCUCAACUCCGGAUCUGCGGUGGGUACGGGCAGGCUAGAGUGAUGUAGGGGAGACUGGAAUUCCUGGUGUAGCGGUGAAAUGCGCAGAUAUCAGGAGGAACACCGAUGGCGAAGGCAGGUCUCUGGACAUUAACUGACGCUGAGGAGCGAAAGCAUGGGGAGCGAACAGG